ACCUUCAAAGGACAGCCCAUUGAAUUCAACCAAGACAUGAAGACAGUGAACUCAAAGAGCUCCUUGAAGUUUUCAAACUCAAAGCCUACAUGCUACAGAGCAAUGUCCUUGAUAUUUUGAGGUUCUCGGAGAUAUUGCAGGUUCAGUUCCAGGCCAUCAUACUAAAGCAAAUAUCACAAUAAAAUUUAAAAUCCACAACCCAGACACAGUUUUGAAGACAAAAAGUGAGGAAGAUAGAAGUGAGGAAGAGGCAUACAUGUUGCUAAGACGAUUGGAACUCCAAGCAGGACAUUUCCUGUGACGGGGAGCUGGGAACCACGUCUCUGUGUGCAAUGCGAAUACACAGGUAUGCGAAGCAAAGCACGUCGGGUGUACUCCUGCUCGCCAAGUGCCCAUCUGCACGCACAGCACCAGCUCUGCAGAAGUGUAAAACAGCCGUGUGGAAGGACAGAGCCAAAAACUCAUUAAGCUUAAUGGUGGUGAUGAUCACACCAAUUCUUCAUAUUUACUCACUAAAUUUCUUCCAGAAGGAUGGAU